rnacentral:lncRNA from 1 species
AAUAUGCAUGACAUCCAGAUUGUGGCGUAAGAGAAGAUCCUUCUAAUAGGGUAGCUCCCAAAAUAUACUCUUCUUAUGCCAAUUGUGAGAGACACUAUACCCAUCAAGCAUAUUUGCAGGAACAUGCUAGUUUCCUCCAACCUUAACUGUUUCAUGAGCUCCGUAAUAAUCAAUGUCCGCUUCGAUCUGCUGGCCGGUGAGAUAUGGAGGAGGAUUGUCUCUGACAAUUUUUUUGUGCUGAAACAAUGUCUUAUUUCUUCUGUACGGAUGGGAAAGUGGAAGAAAGCGACGAUGACAAUCAAACCAACAACUCUUCCUACC